AUACGUAGGGGGCAAGCGUUAUCCGGAAUCAUUGGGCGUAAAGGGUGCGUAGGCGGCCCUAUAGGUCAGAGGUCAAAGGCUGCGGCUCAACCGUAGUAAGCCUUUGAAACUGUAGGGCUUGAGUGCAGGAGAGGAGAGUGGAAUUCCUAGUGUAGCGGUGAAAUGCGUAGAUAUUAGGAGGAACACCAGUGGCGAAGGCGACUCUCUGGACUGCAACUGACGCUGAGGCACGAAAGCGUGGGGAGCGAACAGGAUUAGCUACCCUGGUAGUCCACGCCGUAAACGAUGAGUGCUAGGUGUUGGGGGUCAAACCUCGGUGCCGCAGUUAACGCAUUAAGCACUCCGCCUGGGGAGUACGUACGCAAGUAUGAA
rnacentral:rRNA from 1 species